GACGUAGGUGACGAACGUUAUCCGGAAUUAUUGGGCGUAAAGGGUGCGUAGGCGGUCGGGUAAGUCCGAUGUGAAAUCUCACAGCUUAACUGUGAAACUGCAUUGGAUACUAUUCGGCUUGAGAGUUGGAGGGGGGACUGGAAUUCUUGGUGUAGCAGUGAAAUGCGUAGAUAUCAAGAGGAACACCAGUGGCGAAGGCGAGUCCCUGGACAACUUCUGACGCUGAGGCACGAAAGCUAGGGGAGCAAACAGG
rnacentral:rRNA from 1 species